GACGAACGCUGGCGGCGUGCUUAACACAUGCAAGUCGUACGGUAAGGCCCUUUCGGGGGUACACAAGUGGCGAACGGGUGAGUAACACGUGAGUAACCUGCCCACAACUUUGGGAUAACGCUAGGAAACUGGUGCUAAUACUGGAUAUGUGCCCCUGCUGCAUGGUGGGGGUUGGAAAGCUCCGGCGGUUGUGGAUGGACUCGCGGCCUAUCAGCUUGUUGGUGGGGUAGUGGCCUACCAAGGCGGCGACGGGUAGCCGGCCUGAGAGGGUGACCGGCCACAUUGGGACUGAGAUACGGCCCAGACUCCUACGGGAGGCAGCAGUGGGGAAUAUUGCACAAUGGGCGCAAGCCUGAUGCAGCAACGCCGCGUGCGGGAUGACGGCCUUCGGGUUGUAAACCGCUUUCAGCAGGGACGAAGCUUUUUGUGACGGUACCUGCAGAAGAAGCACCGGCUAACUACGUG
rnacentral:rRNA from 1 species